AAUGAACGUUGGCGGCGUGGAUUAGGCAUGCAAGUCGAGCGAGAAUUUGCGAUUGGAAGCUUCGGCCGAAGAAAGUGAAGGAAAGCGGCAAACGGCGUAGUAAGGCGUAGGUACGUACCCUCGGGUCGGGAAUAGCCAUGGGAAACUGUGGGUAAUGCCCGAUAAUCUCUGCGGAGCAAAGGUGUGAUUCCGCCGGAGGAGCGGCUUACGUGAUAUUAGCUAGUUGGUGGGGUAAUGGCCUACCAAGGGCAACGAUGUCUAGGGGGUGUGAGAGCAUGGCCCCCACGACCGGAACUGAGACACUGUCCGGACACCUACGGGCGGCUGCAGUCGAGAAUCUUCCGCAAUGGGCGAAAGCCUGACGGAGCGACGCCGCGUGGUGGAUGAAGGCCCUUGGGUUGUAAACACCUGUCAGAGGGGAUGAAAUCAUGGUUGGCAAUCCUUCCAUGUUGACAGAGCCUCAGAGGAAGCACGGGCUAAGUACGUGCCAGCAG
rnacentral:rRNA from 1 species